rnacentral:rRNA from 1 species
AUAAAUUUUAACAUCAUAUAAUAAAUAGAGCAAUAAAAAUAAUUUACUAAUAAAAUUUUUAAACACAUAAUAGCAUUACCGUAAGGGAACAAAAAUUAAAUUUAAGUAGUUUUAAACAAACGUACCUUGUGCAUAAUGGUUUUACAAGAACAAAUUUUAUAAUUUACUCCCGAAUUCUCUAUGAGCUGACUUAUAAAUGAUUAGCUCCUAUUACUAGUUGUGUCAAAAACUUUAAAAUAUUAUAAGUCAGAGGCUACAUACCAAUCGCAUGAGAAAAUCUCUGGUUUCCAUCAAAAUUUAUAUAUUAAAUCAACUAUAUAACUCCUAUGUAGUAUGUUAAAUAAUAGAGGACAAGCCCUAUUAUAAGAUCAAUUGCCUUAAAUAUAAUAAAUAAAGUAGGCCUAAAAACAGCCACCUAUAAAUACGUCACAGUAUACAAAAUAAACCAAUUUAUAAAUGAAAAAAAAUGAUAAAUAUAAAUGGAUAGUUACAACAACUAUGUGUAACAUAACUCUGUAAAAACAAGUAUUAAUUAAAAUAUAACAAAAACAAAUAAAAUAAAACUUAAAUAUAAAACAAUAAUAACUUUUAUCAAGAAACUCGGCAAAUAUCUAUUUCGACUGUUUACCAAAAACAUUGCUUAUUGAAUAUAAUAACAAGUAAUCUCCUGCCCAGUGAAUUUUAAACGGCCGCGGUAUCCUAACCGUGCAAAGGUAGCAUAAUAAUUUGCCCAUUAAUUGUGGGCUAGGAUGAAAGGGGUAACGAAAUAAGCACUGUCUCAAUAAAACAAAUAAAAACUAAUAUCCAAGUGAAGAAACUUAGAUUAGAUUAGAGGACAAGAAGACCCUAUAGAGCUUUAUCUUUUUAUGUUUAUACAGACAAAAGAUUCGGUUGGGGCGACCAUGGAUAAAUCAUCCAUAAUAAUUAAGACUAACUAGUCAAUAAAUAGAUCCUUUUAAGAUCACAGAAUCAAGCUACCUUAGGGAUAACAGGCUAAUCCUAUUAAAGAGCUCUUAUCGACAAUAGGGAUUGGCACCUCGAUGUUGGCUUAGAAUAUCUAUAUGGCGCAGAAGUCAUAAAAAGAGGGUUUGUUCAACCCAUAACAUUCUUCAUGAGCUGAGUUCAGACCGGCGUAAGCCAGGUUAGUUUCUAUCCUUAAUAUCCAUAUAAAUUUAUAGUACGAAAGGACCUAAAUUUUACAUAAAAUGUAAUAAAAAAAUAAAUAAAACAUCAUAUAAAUUUAAAUACCUAUACACUAUA